rnacentral:rRNA from 1 species
GACGAACGCUGGCGGCGUGCUUAACACAUGCAAGUCGUACGGUAAGGCCCUUUCGGAGGUACCCGAGUGGCGAACGGGUGAGUAACACGUGAGUAACCUGCCCACAACUUUGGGAUAACGCUAGGAAACUGGUGCUAAUACUGGAUAUGUGCUCCUGCUGCAUGGUGGGGGUUGGAAAGCUCCGGCGGUUGUGGAUGGACUCGCGGCCUAUCAGCUUGUUGGUGGGGUAGUGGCCUACCAAGGCGGCGACGGGUAGCCGGCCUGAGAGGGUGACCGGCCACAUUGGGACUGAGAUACGGCCCAGACUCCUACGGGAGGCAGCAGUGGGGAAUAUUGCACAAGGGGCGCAAGCCUGAUGCAGCAACGCCGCGUGCGGGAUGACGGCCUUCGGGUUGUAAACCGCUUUCAGCAGGGACGAAGCUUUUUGUGACGGUACCUGCAGAAGAAGCACCGGCUAACUACGUG